UAUUACCAUUUUCUUAACUAAAGAACCCUUUUUUCCUCUACAGUAACAAGCCUGACACCAUAACAAUAGCAGCUGCAGGAUCCCGCGCGCACAAUCAAUCACGUUUAAAAAUUCAAAUUUUAACGGUCACUCGCGGAUUUAACGGAUCCGUAACCGUAACUCUGUUCUCAAAACAAAGUGAUACCCAUGAGCCACAACCUUUUUACUGAUUGUGACUGCAUGGUUUGCUGUGAUUGGCUAAUGGAAGCUGCACAGUGUGUACACCCCUACCCACCACAUCCUACCCCAACGUGGGAGCAGGGGUUUCAUUCAGAUACUGCAAAGUUCUGGAGCUGUCAAAUGAUCUUCGUCAUCAUGUCUGCUUGUGCCACCAAAAAAUAAAAUUGUGCAUCAAACUGU